rnacentral:rRNA from 1 species
AGAGUUUGAUCCUGGCUCAGAACGAACGCUGGCGGCAGGCCUAACACAUGCAAGUCGAGCGCCCCGCAAGGGGAGCGGCGGACGGGUGAGUAACGCGUGGGAAUUUUCCUCAAGGUAGGGAACAACUCAGGGAAACUUGGGCUAAUACCCUAUGAUGCAGAGAUGCCAAAGAUUUAUCGCCUUGGGAUAAGCCCGCGUCAGAUUAGGUAGUUGGUGGGGUAACGGCCUACCAAGCCUGUGAUCUGUAGCUGGUCUGAGAGGACGAUCAGCCACAUUGGGACUGAGACACGGCCCAAACUCCUACGGGAGGCAGCAGUGGGGAAUCUUGCGCAAUGGGCGAAAGCCUGACGCAGCCAUGCCGCGUGAAUGAUGAAGGUCUUAGGAUUGUAAAGUUCUUUCGCCUGUGACGAUGAUGACGGUAACAGGAGAAGAAGCCCCGGCUAACUUCGUGCCAGCAGCCGCGGUAAUACGAAGGGGGCUAGCGUUGUUCGGAAUUACUGGGCGUAAAGCGCGCGUAGGCGGUUUUGCAAGCCAGAGGUGAAAUGCCUGAGCUCAACUUAGGAAUUGCCUUUGGGACUGUGAGGCUUUGAGGACGGAAGAGGUGAGUGGAAUUCCCAGUGUAGAGGUGAAAUUCGUAGAUAUUGGGAAGAACACCGGUGGCGAAGGCGGCUCACUGGUCCGUUUCUGACGCUAAAGCGCGAAAGCGUGGGGAUCAAACAGGAUUAGAUACCCUGGUAGUCCACGCUGUAAACGAUGAGUGCUAGGCGUCGGCAGGCUUGCCUGUCGGUGCCGCAGCUAAC